GUGUCCCAAAGUCAUGGUUAAGUGGGAAACGAUGUGGGAAGUGCACAGACAGCCAGGAUGUUGGCUUAGAAGCAGCCAUCAUUUAAAGAAAGCGUAAUAGCUCACUGGUCGAGUCGGCCUGCGCGGAAGAUGUAACGGGGCUAAACCAUGCACCGAAGCUGCGGCAGCGACACUUAGGUGUUGUUGGGUAGGGGAGCGUUCUGUAAGCCGUUGAAGGUGACCUGUGAGGGUUGCUGGAGGUAUCAGAAGUGCGAAUGCUGACAUAAGUAACGAUAAUGCGGGUGAAAAACCCGCACGCCGGAAGACCAAGGGUUCCUGUCCAACGUUAAUCGGGGCAGGGUGAGUCGACCCCUAAGGCGAGGCUGAAAAGCGUAGUCGAUGGGAAACAGGUUAAUAUUCCUGUACUUGGUGUUACUGCGAAGGGGGGACGGAGAAGGCUAGGCUGGCCGGGCGACGGUUGUCCCGGUUUAAGCGUGUAGGGGGAGUGACCAGGUAAAUCCGGUUGCUUAUCAACCCUGAGGCGUGAUGACGAUGCACCACGGUGCAGAAGCAGUUGAUGCCAUGCUUCCAGGAAAAGCCUCUAAGCAUCAGGUAACAUUAAAUCGUACCCCAAACCGACACAGGUGGUCAGGUAGAGAAUACUCAGGCGCUUGAGAGAACUCGGGUGAAGGAACUAGGCAAAAUGGUGCCGUAACUUCGGGAGAAGGCACGCUGGCGUUAGGUGAAAGGACUAGCUCCUGGAGCUGAAGCCAGUCGCAGAUACCAGCUGGCUGCAACUGUUUAAUAAAAACACAGCACUGUGCAAACACGAAAGUGGACGUAUACGGUGUGACGCCUGCCCGGUGCUGGAAGGUUAAUUGAUGGGGUCAGCCGCAAGGGGAAGCUCUUGAUCGAAGCCCCAGUAAACGGCGGCCGUAACUAUAACGGUCCUAAGGUAGCGAAAUUCCUUGUCGGGUAAGUUCCGACCUGCACGAAUGGCGUAAUGAUGGCCAGGCUGUCUCCACCCGAGACUCAGUGAAAUUGAACUCGCUGUGAAGAUGCAGUGUACCCGCGGCAAGACGGAAAGACCCCGUGAACCUUUACUAUAGCUUGACACUGAACAUUGAGCCUUGAUGUGUAGGAUAGGUGGGAGGCCUUGAAGUGUGGACGCCAGUCUGCAUGGAGCCAACCUUGAAAUACCACCCUUUAAUGUUUGAUGUUCUAACUCGGCCCCAUGAUCUGGGGUGAGGACAGUGUCUGGUGGGUAGUUUGACUGGGGCGGUCUCCUCCCAAAGAGUAACGGAGGAGCACGAAGGUUAGCUAAUCACGGUCGGACAUCGUGAGGUUAGUGCAAAGGCAUAAGCUAGCUUGACUGCGAGAGUGACGGCUCGAGCAGGUACGAAAGUAGGUCUUAGUGAUCCGGUGGUUCUGAAUGGAAGGGCCAUCGCUCAACGGAUAAAAGGUACUCCGGGGAUAACAGGCUGAUACCGCCCAAGAGUUCAUAUCGACGGCGGUGUUUGGCACCUCGAUGUCGGCUCAUCACAUCCUGGGGCUGAAGUAGGUCCCAAGGGUAUGGCUGUUCGCCAUUUAAAGUGGUACGCGAGCUGGGUUUAGAACGUCGUGAGACAGUUCGGUCCCUAUCUGCCGUGGGCGUUGGAAGAUUGAGAGGGGCUGCUCCUAGUACGAGAGGACCGGAGUGGACGAAUCACUGGUGUUCGGGUUGUCAUGCCAAUGGCAUUGCCCGGUAGCUAAAUUCGGAAGAGAUAACCGCUGAAAGCAUCUAAGCGGGAAACUUGCCUCGAGAUGAGUCUUCCCUGGGACUUAAAGUCCCCUGAAGGAACGUUAAAGACUAUGACGUUGAUAGGCUGGGUGUGUAAGUGCAGCGAUGUAUUGAGCUAACCAGUACUAAUGAUCCGUGAGGCUUAACCUU
rnacentral:rRNA from 1 species